GUAGGUGGCAAGCGCUGUCCGGAAUUAUUGGGCGUAAAGCGCGCGCAGGCGGUUCUUUAAGUCUGAUGUGAAAGCCCACGGGCUCAACCGUGGAGGGUCAUUGGAAACUGGAGAACUUGAGUACAGAAGAGGAAAGCGGAAUUCCACGUGUAGCGGUGAAAUGCGUAGAGAUGUGGAGGAACACCAGUGGCGAAGGCGGCUUUCUGGUCUGUAACUGACGCUGAGGCGCGAAAGCGUGGGGAGCAAACAGGAUUAGAUACCCUGGUAGUCCACGCCGUAAACGAUGAGUGCUAAGUGUUAGGGGGUUUCCGCCCCUUAGUGCUGCGGCUAACGCAUUAAGCACUCCGCCUGGGGAGUACGGCCGCAAAGGCUG
rnacentral:rRNA from 1 species